AUUGAACGCUGGCGGCAGGCCUAACACAUGCAAGUCGAGCGGAUGAAGGGAGCUUGCUCCUGGAUUCAGCGGCGGACGGGUGAGUAAUGCCUAGGAAUCUGCCUGGUAGUGGGGGAUAACGUGCGGAAACGGGCGCUAAUACCGCAUACGUCCUGAGGGAGAAAGUGGGGGAUCUUCGGACCUCACGCUAUCAGAUGAGCCUAGGUCGGAUUAGCUAGUUGGUGGGGUAAAGGCCUACCAAGGCGACGAUCCGUAACUGGUCUGAGAGGAUGAUCAGUCACACUGGAACUAAGACACGGUCCAGACUCCUACGGGAGGCAGCGGUGGGGAAAAUUGGACAAUGGGCGAAAGCCUGUUCCGGCCAUGCGGCGUGUGUGAAGAAGGUCUUCGGAUUGUAAAGCCCUUUAAGUUGGGAGAAAGGGCAGUAAGUUAAUACCUUGCUGUUUUGACGUUACCAACAGAAUAAGCACCGGCAAACUUCGU
rnacentral:rRNA from 1 species